UUAAUGAUAUGCUAAAGCACGCUGGUACAUUGACUUGAUUGGUUACAAGGUAGCCUACUUUGUGACGUCAGAAAUACCAGCUAUUUCAAACCAUCUUUGGUUUACUGCAGUUUUAAAGAGAAAAUACUCAGCAAUGGUUUUGACUGAUGAAUUUGCACAUGGUUCGUCUUAAAGCAUGUUAAAAACACCAGAUAGACAUAUGAACAACAUAAAAAAAAUUGAUUUUCACCACGGGGGUCUUUAAGGUGGCGUUUUCUGUCACAAAGUCACAAAAAAGACCACCCCUAAGUUUGGAGAUAUGGCUCAGGUCCCACCUUCGCCGCGCAUGGGAUUUUCUCAACGUUUCAUCGUCGAAAAUUAGAGAAUGGAUCAAGAUUAAAGACCAGGAGCUGGAUUUUGUUUUUGAAGUAGUGAAUGUGUGAAGUUUAUUCAGGUUGGCGAGGAUCAGCUGGUGUUGAACGAAUCCUCUACUAGCAGGUUCUUCUGCUUCCAGGGUACAUCUGAGGCUACGUUCACACUUCAGGUUUCUGCAAGAAUGACAAAAUGAAUGACGUUCGUCUCAAAGUUGAAGCCAUCCGGGUGUCCGAUUCAAAAACGAAAGCAGUGCUGAAGGAAAGGCAGAGAGCAAGAUGGAAAUAGUGCGCCUUAGUAACCUGAUUUCUGUCGGGAACAUUCAGACACUCACCAGGGAGACAGAAGCGUUGUUGCAGGAUUUGGAGUAUGUUCACUAAUUAAGGUUUGCCCUGUCAGCAUUAGAGCCUGGCAAGAGAUGCUAUUUUAUUGUAAUAAAAAAUAUCUUUUUUUUUUUUACAACAAUGACGAUGAGUGACGAA